CUAGACGCUGCCCCAGCUCUGAGAGCCAGAUGUGACAUAACCAGCUCCGUGUCCAAGGUCCCCAAGGAAACGGCAAAGAUGUAAUGACCACACUCAGGUGUAAACUCUGUAGCCGGGUUUCUAAACUAGAACCUACUGAUCGUGGGAUAAAAAUCAGGAAACGGUGAAGAUGUAAUAACCACACUCAGGUGUAAACUCUGCAGCCGGAUUUCUAAACUAGAAGCUACUGAUCAUGGGAUAAAAAUCAGGAAACGGUGAAGAUGUAAUCACCACACUCAGGUGUAAACUCUGCAGCCGGGUUCUAAACUAGAACCUACUGAUCA
rnacentral:lncRNA from 1 species